GAGUUGUAAUUUGCAGAGGAUGCUUUGGCAUUGGCGGCGGUCUAAGUUCCUUGGAACAGGACAUCACAGAGGGUGAGAAUCCCGUACGUGGUCGCCUGCCUUUGCCGUGGAAAGCUCCUUCGACCAGCCCAGUUGUUUGGGAAUGCAGCUCUAAAUGGGAGGUAAAUUUCUUCUAAAGCUAAAUACUGGCCAGAGACCGAUNGCGCACAAGUAGAGUGAUCGAAAGAUGAAAAGUACUUUGGAAAGAGAGUCAAAAAGCACGUGAAAUUGUUGAAAGGGAAGCGCUUGCAGCCAGACUUGCCCGC
rnacentral:rRNA from 1 species